GACGAACCGUGCGAACGUUAUUCGGAAUCACUGGGCUUAAAGCGCGUGUAGGCGGGCCGCCGCGUCGGCUGCUGAAAUCCCCCGGCUCAACCGGGGAACGGGCACCGAUACGGGCGGCCUCGAGGGGGGUAGGGGGGCCUGGAACUUCCGGUGGAGCGGUGAAAUGCGUUGAGAUCGGAAGGAACGCCCGUGGCGAAAGCGAGGCCCUGGACCCUUACUGACGCUGAGACGCGAAAGCCAGGGGAGCGAACGGG
rnacentral:rRNA from 1 species